rnacentral:lncRNA from 12 species
AUGAUUAAUUCUUCCUGGGCCAAAGGAGAUAGAGGAUCAGGCUUCUCAAAAGAAGUAAUUUUCCAUAGGUACGGAAAACACAGAUUGUUGGAGGCAGAAAGACAACGGGAUGGAAAGCCUGGCCUCUGGGACUCACGUGUGAAAUGGCUUGAGUGUUGGAGUCACUGCCUUAUUGGAGAGAAAUUUCAGAAGUCACCACCCCACUCCAGGAAUGAAGGUAAUGUCAAGGAUCCUAGGCGAAUAUCCCAAUAUGUCUCUAUGUUUCUUUCUCUCGCCAUCCUAGGAUGCAAACAGGUUGAAGACAGGAGCUGUCUUUAAUGGAAUCUGAACAGUGCCUAACCCCUGUGGAUAUUCAUUGAAUGUUAAAUAACAACAGUGAUCAUGUAAUAAUGAUGCCCAGCUCACUGGGGAGAGAAUACCAAAUAGGUUGGAAUUUUCCCAUUACUGACAGUCAGCCCAGGAGCAUCCUGAGGUGAAUUUAAAAACCUCGGCAAUUCGAGUCACAUUUCCCAUAAGAAAUACAUCUUCUAGCUUGGAGUAAUUGUUUGGUUUAUUGCUGGUUUACUGUGUGAUUUGUUAGUCUUUGUUUAAAUCUUCCAGGUCUGGAAGAAAGAUAUUGUGCUUUAAUGAUAAAUAAUCUCAAAGAGAGAGAAAAAAAUCCAAUCAGCUCCCCUGGCCAGUAUCUUUUUCCUCUUUUUCUUCAUCCAUUA